GAUGAAGAACGCAGCGAAAUGCGAUACGUAGUGUGAAUUGCAGAAUUCCGCGAAUCAUCGAGUCUUUGAACGCAAGUUGCGCCCGAGGCUUGUCCAAGGGCAUUUCCGCUAGAGCGUCACC
rnacentral:rRNA from 1 species